AUGAACUUAGCUUGCUAAGUUUGAUGGCGACCGGCGCACGGGUGAGUAACACGUAUCCAACCUGCCGAUGACUCGGGGAUAGCCUUUCGAAAGAAAGAUUAAUACCCGAUGGCAUAGUUCUUCCGCAUGGUAGAACUAUUAAAGAAUUUCGGUCAUCGAUGGGGAUGCGUUCCAUUAGGUUGUUGGCGGGGUAACGGCCCACCAAGCCUUCGAUGGAUAGGGGUUCUGAGAGGAAGGUCCCCCACAUUGGAACUGAGACACGGUCCAAACUCCUACGGGAGGCAGCAGUGAGGAAUAUUGGUCAAUUGGACGAGAGUCUGAACCAGCCAAGUAGCGUGAAGGAUGACUGCCCUAUGGGUUGUAAACUUCUUUUAUACGGGAAUAAAGUGAGGCACGUGUGCCUUUUUGUAUGUACCGUAUGAAUAAGGAUCGGCUAACUCCGUGCCAGCAGCCGCGGUAAUACGGAGGAUCCGAGCGUUAUCCGGAUUUAUUGGGUUUAAAGGGAGCGUAGGCGGACGCUUAAGUCAGUUGUGAAAGUUUGCGGCUCAACCGUAAAAUUGCAGUUGAUACUGGGUGUCUUGAGUACAGUAGAGGCAGGCGGAAUUCGUGGUGUAGCGGUGAAAUGCUUAGAUAUCACGAAGACUCCGAUUGCGAAGGCAGCCUGCUGGACUG
rnacentral:rRNA from 1 species